UGGGGAAUAUUGCACAAUGGGGGAAACCCUGAUGCAGCGACGCCGCGUGAGCGAAGAAGGUUUUCGAAUCGUAAAGCUCUGUCCUAUGGGAAGAUAAUGACGGUACCAUAGGAGGAAGCCCCGGCUAACUACGUGCCAGCAGCCGCGGUAAUACGUAGGGGGCAAGCGUUGUCCGGAAUCACUGGGCGUAAAGGGUUCGCAGGCGGAAAUGCAAGUCAGUUGUGAAAGGCAGAGGCUCAACCUCUGUAAGCAAUUGAAACUGUAUUUCUUGAGAUGUGGAGAGGCAAGUGGAAUGCCUAGUGUAGCGGUGAAAUGCGUAGAUAUUAGGAAGAAUACCGGUGGCGAAGGCGACUUGCUGGACACAAACUGACGCUGAGGAACGAAAGCGUGGGUAGCAAACAGG
rnacentral:rRNA from 1 species